rnacentral:lncRNA from 1 species
UAAGAAAUACUUUUUAUAGAGUGAAGUUCUGCAGCAAGAUGAUUGCUUAUUUUAUAAAUAAAAUUUGAGAUAAUUAAAAAAAGUAAAAUUCAAAAGGAAUGUUAAAAAGAUUUUAGAGGGGUGUUGAAAUUUCCAAUAAAAAAAAGUUUUUUUUUUUAAAUCCCACUACCCAAUGCCAACCCAACAAUAGUAGUCCAAUAAGUCAAUAAUACAAAUCAGUUUUCUACAAUUUUUUAAAAUUUUAAAUUAAUCAAAUGACAAAACCUAAAAUCUAAAAACAUGUUAGACACAUUUUAUUAUUUUAGCUUUACCAAAAAUAAAUUAUUUGAUAAAAAAUGUUUUGUAAUUUUGUUAUCUAUAAAAUAUAUUUAGUUUUAUCAACAUAUAUAGAGUCAUUCUUUCAUGCGAACAGACUAUUAAGCUAUGUUGUUUAAUAAGUUAGUGCAUGCACGGUAUUAAAUAAUGAGGUUUUAUAGUAAAUUUAACACUGACUCCAUUAAACCACAUGAUUUAAUAGUAUCUCCGCAUUAAUAAAUAAAAAAUGAGGGCACUCAUACUUGAGAAUUUCUAUAUAUAUACGCAUUAGUUUGCUGAGAAAGAAAGUGGAAGGUUAAUUUUAGAAUUGAAAUAGGUGUUACCGAAAAAAAAGGAUUUGUAAGAGCGAACAGCACAAAAAAUAAAUAAAUAAAUAAAAGGCUUCAGCCUAGUCCAUUCCAAUUGAGCUUUGGCCCAAUCUUCAAACCUUGAGCUCGGGCUCAAUGUUGUUGAGCUAAAUUAGGUCGCGCAUGGGCUCAAGCUUUCUCUAAAAGAAUAGCCUAGUCCUUAGUUCCCCAUAAAAUAAAAGUAAUAUAUAAAGGCAUGCUUAAAAAAUUCUAAGGCACCCCAAAUUCUACAUUAUAUUCUAUUCUCCAUAAAUUCUACUUUAUAAAAUUUGGGUGGUAAAGGAGUUGAUCUUUUACGUUCAUGAAUCUGGUUCAAUCUUUUCUCUUCGUCUUUAAAUGGAAAGGGCACAUUCGAAUAAUAGUGUGCUGGUAUAUGAUGAUAGAAGAAAGAUAAGAGAGGGAAUUUAAUUAGAAUGUUGACUUUAGUAAUUGCAGAGAUAGACUUUUUUUUUUAAAUUAAAAACCACCCUAGUGUAGGGGGUUAGGCCAGAUUCUCUUAUCUAUAGAUUAAUAAAAAGUAAAAAGAAAUACAAAUGGAGAGUCAUAUAGACCAAAACUUCCAAGAUAGAUAACAACACAACUAACAAAUGCAAAAAUAGAAAAAGCACUAAAAAAACAAAUAGGAACCUAAAGAGAACAAGCUAAUGCAAAUGCUUAGAGAGCCAAUACUUCCUGCUAGUGACUAAUUUGAAACCCUUCCUAGAACCAUAGGCAUAUGGGCCAACAACACUAAAGUCGGGGUCAAGUUCACACCCUCUAGUGCCCUUAGGCUCAGAUACAAAGUAAUCAUUAGCCACAAGAUCCCCAUCAGACUAAACUCCUUAUCUGAUUGAAAAAGGAUAUCUGUAGAAAGAGAAUUAAAAUCCACAGCCAAAGUACGAAUAUCAUCCACCAUAGAUCGAAAGAAAGUAAAACUGAUGGAUGCCCACUGAACACCCGGAUCAUCCAAGACAGGAGAAAGGGGAUUAACAUCCCCAACGGAUCCAUCAGCAUCUCUCAAAGCAGUAGAGUCCCUUAAACUAUUAUCAUCCCAAACUUUCAUAUCUGAACUAGACCUAUCAUUUGCAGGACCCUGAACAAUAGGAACAGGUGACCAAGCACCCAAAGAAACACCUUCCCUACCACUAGUCCAUAACGGCCGAACUUUCUCAGAUUGACCUUGGAUUGGAAUAGGCCCCUAUAAGAUGUUGUCUGUUGUACUCACAGAUUGCAUAACACACACAUGAGGUUGUAUAUUAGCAUGAAACAUAGGCAUCAUACCUUUAUCGCCAACAACAUUAUCGUGCACCUCACCAGCUGGCUUCUAGGGCUUUUGGAGCCCAGGAUUGGUAACUAAACAGUCAUCAACGAAGUGCCUAAGAUACUUACACAAAGUAUAAUAUGAAGGAAUACGUUAAAAAAUGAUAGCCUGCCAAAAUCCAUCAUCACCCUCACCAAUCCAAAGCCUGGGCAGUAACGGCCAUGAAACAUCAUACUUAAUCCAAACUCUAACAAUUGAGGGCCUAUUAAAAGUAGGACUAGAAUGGUCCACUUGCAAGGGCUUACCAAUAGCAUUAGCAAUAGAAAAUGAGGCAUCUUCGCAAUGAAUAAAAUGCAUUGGCAAAUAAGGCAAAGAAUAUUAAAAGUAGCACUAAAAUGCAUUGGCAAAAUGAGGAAUAAUGGGAGAUUCCUGACACAAUUUAAAAGUAAUUUUUAACUCUCAAGUAUGAGAGUGUCUUGUUGUAUUAUAGCUCGGUGAGUCUGAGGUUGAUCCAUAGAAAAAAGAUUUAAUUUUUUAUUAUUUUAUUUUAUCUAAAAAUUGAAAAUUAAACUUAAAUAUAAACAACUUAAUUUAAAUAAAACUAUGAAAUUGAAUUAGUUAGGGUUGUAGAUCCACUCUUAGUAAUAAAUAAGACUUAAUAAAUUCUUUUUGCUAUUUUUUAGAUUUAUCGCCUGAAAAAUUAGUUAUAUAAAUCAUUAUUAUUUUCUCUUUAAUUUUAUGAUGGAUUAAGUAUUUAUUGUGCCAAAAUUUAAUUUAUCUACAAUAAGUCAAAAUACCAUUUUACCAUACCUUAUAUUGAGAUAUUAAGAAUUUAUUGUGCCAAACUCCCUUAUUUGUCUACAAUAAAUCAAAAUUUCAAAAUAUAAAAUGU